UGGCGGACGGGUGAGUAACGCGUGGAAAACCUGCCGUAUACCGGGGGAUAACACUUAGAAAUAGGUGCUAAUACCGCAUAAGCGCACAGCUUCGCAUGAAGCGGUGUGAAAAACUCUGGUGGUAUACGAUGGUUCCGCGUCUGAUUAGCUAGUUGGUGGGGUAAUGGCCUACCAAGGCAACGAUCAGUAGCCGGCCUGAGAGGGUGAACGGCCACAUUGGGACUGAGACACGGCCCAAACUCCUACGGGAGGCAGCAG
rnacentral:rRNA from 1 species